UACAGAGGUGGCAAGCGUUGUUCGGAAUUACUGGGCGUAAAGGGCUCGUAGGCGGCCAACUAAGUCAGACGUGAAAUCCCUCGGCUUAACCGGGGAACUGCGUCUGAUACUGGAUGGCUUGAGUUUGGGAGAGGGAUGCGGAAUUCCCGGUGUAGUGGUGAAAUGCGUAGAUAUCGGGAGGAAUACCAGUGGCGAAGGCGGCUUCCUGGCCUGUUCUUGACGCUGAGGCGCGAAAGCUAGGGUAGCAAACGGG
rnacentral:rRNA from 1 species